GGGCUCAGAUUUGGCGAAUUUGGAUUACUAGAGCUGUGGUUUCGGUGUUUCUGGGAACAAAAUUUGGGGAUUUGCCGUUCCAUCUUUUCCUGCGCAUCUUAUUUCCCUCCUAAUUUAUCAACCAGUGCUAACAAUGCUAAUCAGAACGUCAACAUGAUGCGGAAGCAUGGCUUAGUUAAUCUAACAGAAAAUCUAAUUAGCACUAACCCAGUGGCAAUUCGGAAGAAAAACUUGUAUCUCAAAUUUAAACAGAUAUCAUUAGGACUUUAAUCAAUACGAAUUAGGGCCUUAAUUAAUUAGGGAACAACAAGUAGCGGGUUCUAAACAGAGAUCAGUAAGCUCAGGAUACCAUGUUAGAAUUAAGUCUUUGGGAUUAACGUGAAUUGGAUCUUGAUCUCUAAUUAGAACACCUUCUAUGAAUCAGAAGUUUGAUUUGGUAAGUACCUUUGAUGGCCGAGGCAAAAUCCCUCGCCUGCUUGAUGCAGGGUGGAGCCAUGGGUGGUGUUGUAGUCUGGAAGGGCAGCAGCACAUCUACGAUAGAUGACAGCAGCAAGCCGCCGGCACUGCCCUCGUGGCGGCCGGCGGUGGACUUGGCCUUCCCAUUGCUUCAGCCCAUCCAUAGAUCGGUAUGGUUUGAGCGGAUUGAGGAGGUUGGAUAAAACAUAUGUGAAUUAACCCAUCGUAGGUAUCUAGGCACCACCCUUUAUAUGCGCUGGCAACAGGGGACCAAAACCAUCUGUCGGUUAGAUGUGCCCCCGAUCAGGGCAAUUCUGUUGGGGUCAAAAGCCACUUACGUUGGUUUGUAGCUGAUCCCCUUAACGUUACUUUUUACCCGGUCAGAGCCGAGAUCAACCAACACAUGGAUGUUACAAAUAAAAGCAAGGGAUUGGGAUUCCAGUGUUGCAUUUCCAACACCAAUAGACUUUUAAUACUACACUAUGAAAAACAUAUGUACCAUAUUUAGAACUGAAACUCUUAUAGUAGAUUGUAUAUAUUUUCCUAUGGAGUGCCUUUUCUUCUCGUUGCUACAUUUGAAAGGAGUUUCAAUAUAUAUCAGUUACUAUUAAACAAUGCAAUCAGUUCCAAACAGUGGACAUGCAUCAUACUACCUCUGAUCCAUAAAAAGUGUUGCAGUUUUGAACUAAACCCAGUUCAAAACUGCGACACCUAUUUUGGAUCGGAGGGAAUAGUAGUUUACAGGAGUAAACUUGCAAAUAUGACCACUUUGCCUCACUAUAUAGAUGUUGAAUCAAGAAAUGCUGCAAUUCACAUGAGCUUAAAAUAGAUGCUCACCUCCAGGAACAAAGUCAGGUGUGUGUGUGUGUGUAUUCUUGUGUAUAGUUACAGGAAAAAUAACGUGGGCAUACCUUUUAGAAAGGAGUGGAGAAAGUGCUUCGAUUGCCCUGAGUUGGCAUCUAAACAGGGAAAAAUGGAUGGAUAAUUUUAUAUCUAGUAAAUAAAAGAACUUUGCAACAUUCCUAGACAUCUAACAUUUAUAGACUUUUUAGUCACUAUGGCCAAUCGCCAAGAUAUAUCAUGUUUCACAACCAAGCUUUAGCCAAUGCAAACAGAGCAUCAUUAACAUGGGCCGAUCCAAUAAAUAGAUUAUUUAUCUUUUAAUAAAUAUACUUAAGGAGGGCAGCCCAGUUUUUACAUUAAUGUAAUUAUCUAUGAAUGCAGAGAUUGAUAUUUAAAACAAUAAUGAGGCUAGCCAACUCACCUCCAGAAGGCUCCCCCGAUUGGUCCUUCGUUGGCCGUCGGAUCUGCUCUUUUCGUCCGUCUGAACCGUUUAUCUUCGCAAUAGUUAAACUCAGUUUUCACCUCGCAGUCGUUUUCAUUGUCCAAUGACUUGUGGGCUCGCGCCGCACGCUGGUUGGCUGGGUUACCCGUUUUGAGGUGCAACUGGUUUUGCCCAAUCAGCUUCGGCGCCUGCACCCAAUCACCCGUGUCUCACCCCACUCCCACCCCAGCCGCCAAACGAACCCUAGCCCUCUUUCUCCUUCCCCUCGAUCCCCAGUUCCCCACGAUCCUCUCCUAGCCCACAGCCACCAGCCUUGUCUCUCCACUCGCCUCCUCCUUUCCUCUACCAUGUCAUCGUCAAUCCCACCGCCGGCCUUCUCCUCUGCUUGCCUCCUCCGGUCCUCUUCCAUGUCGCUGUCGAUCCAGAUCGGACGUAGGUCAUCGUUGUGGUAGAGCAGCGGCGGCGGGUUCUUCGUGGUGCGGGUGGGGAUGUAGGGGAGGGGUGGGAUGCGGACGUCGGCGAGGAAGGCAAGCAGCAGCGGGGAAUGAGUAGGUGAGCGAUCCUAGCAUGGGGAAGGGGCAGGGUGGGGCCUCGCACACCUGCUAGUGGCCGGCGGGAGCUUGAGCUCGAGAUGAUGGAGGUGCUAAGGCGGGGCAGGAGAGGACGGCUCGCCGACGAGCUCGAGUUGGAGGCGGUGAGAUCUUUUCCUUCAUGGCUUCCCACCCGCUGAGCUCGUUGGUCCUCCUCCCUCCCCCGUGCGGCCGGCCUCGUCCUUCGUCGCUCGACUUACCAUCGACCCCUGGUACGCCUCCAUCCUUCGUCCCUUGCUCCGUGGCCCGGAUGUCGAGGGAGGGCGAGAGGCGGUGAUAUGCAGGGGUGAGGGAGAUGGAGGCGGUGACCUGCAGCUCCUAUUGAAGGGGCGGAGAAGAGGGGGUGCUCGUGUGAAAGAACAGUUUUAGAUUUGAGAAAGAAGAUGAACAGAAGAAUCCAAUAGAAGAUUUGGUGAAGAACAAGGUGACCAACUCUCUCGUGUGAAUGUUCGUCUCUCUUUUGUAGAAAAUUGAUUUUAUUUCUGUACGCCUACAAGGUGUUCGAUGAAAAUCCCAGAAGGCUGGCAGGGGAAGAAUGAUCUAUUCUGUACGAUCUCGAAGACUGCUGCUUCUUUGGUCUGUUCACCAAGGUUUCCUCCCUUGUUUCUGUUAUGCUCUUGUGAUGCUCUGCGUCUGUGCUGAUCCACACAACUUGCUGGUCUCCAACUUAUUUAUUCUCUCACCCUCUGCAUUUGUGUAUGUAAUCAUGCAUACCCACUUAAAAAUGAACAAUGCUAAGCUGGAGCUGCAGCUGCAGGUAUAUUGCCUUACAAUACCCAUGGUGCCAGACGUGUUUUAUUCCACUGCUACCAAGAAGAUAAACGCGGCAGCUGAGCCUAUAGUUCCUGCUGAGAAACAUCCCAAUGUUGACAGCGACACUGCAAAUGGAGCUUCUCUAACCGCUAUCGAAGACACCGCUGUUCAUUUUAACCAGCCAAUAUGGAAGAGAAGAAGACGGAGCCAUAAACAAAAAUGACUCGGCAUAUAUCAUAUUUUCCUUGAUAGCCCCUUUUCACUGGUUAGGCCCAGCCCAGCAAACAUCUGUUGGCCGCAUGAGCUCCGUGUGAGAUCUUUAGCAUUUGUUCUGAGAUAAAGAAUUCGGUUCUUUUACUCAUCAUAGAGCAUCCAGCACAGCAAAACCCAAAAAGGCCUUUAAACCAUGCCUAUAUAUCAUAUCACGCAAAUUCUUGGUUUUUAUUAGUUUCACAUGCUAAAGUAUAUAGUUUGAACAUAGGUAUUCCUUAUUUUUUCAUGUAAAAGUUUUAGAAUUAUUACCCCAAGUGCUUGCUAAAACCCGAAGUUACUAACAAAUGCAAAUAUUUCUUGUUAUAAAAGGUUUAGAAUUAUUACCCCAGUGCUUGCUAAAACCCGAAGUUACUAACAAAUGCCCACAACUAAACCAACUAAAACAUGGUUUUUUUUCAACGCGCACAUGGAUUCAGCGUCUCUAUGCCAUAUGCCCUUGCAAAAUGAGACUAUUUUCAUCGAAAACAUGGCUUUAGCGGGUCUCUGCGCCAUUUGGCACGAUUCAGUUUUAGUUUUUCACUCAGACAUACAAUUGUUAGUGUUGUUAAUCCAUACAUAGUACUAUCUGUAGCUUGGUGUUAUCGUAUCUUUCAUUCAAGAUCUUGUGCAAAAUUACAUGCAUAUUUUCCUUUGUCGUAGACCCAUGUUGAUUUCUAGACCCAAAUUUUAAUGGGUCUCUUGCAGGCCACGUGAAGGUGAGCAACUGUGAUUAAGGAAAUUACAUGUAUUUGUGUGGUUUGUUCCUGCUGUUGAUUGGUGCUACUAAAUGCUAUAUAAAACUUAUAGUUGUGCAUAAAAUGCCUUGAUAUGCAAAUAACCCACUUAAAAUAAAUGGCUUGCGCCAUCUGGCAUUAGAUGUUGACAUGCCAAACACUUUGCCGCCUAGGAUAGUCUAUAUUUGUAUUGCCACCAGUUAUCUCAUUUUUUCAAUAAUGAAAAAAUUAUUUGCUUUAGUUUUUUGGAAUAAUGUUCAGGAAGUUGAUGACGAGUUAGUAAAACCGUUGGAAAUCUCGCUUACAUUAGACAAUGACAUGCUAAAGGCGCCACUGCCUGAUGUAGUCUUUGGACUUCAGCUAUCUCAUAUGUACAAUAACAAGAUUUGUCGCUUCGGUUUUUAGAAGAAUCUUUGAUAAGUUGGUGAAGAAUUACAGCUCCGAGUUCGUGUUGAGUGUCUCUUCCAUCUGGUGUUCGAGUCGCCGGAGGCACAUUUCGGCGUUUGUCGCCGGAGACUGUUCGGCGUAUAUCGCCGGAGGCAGCACCAACAACAUGUACCAAAUGUUGUUUUCUUCUUUUAUAAUCGCCUUGAUGUCCACAAAAAUAAUUUUUUGUAUGAGUUUUGGUCGGGCUUGACAAUUUUUUUGCUGAGAAUACAAACUGUGAAGCCACUAUUUUCAUACUGUAGUUGUAGAUGUACAUCCUUUAUUCUCGCAACAGUUAGUUCUAAGACCAUUCAUAUCGUUGCAGAUUUUGCCUAUUCUCUGAGAUGGAUGAUGAUGAGCGGUGCAACCGAAAAUUCAGAGCUGGGCUUUACACACUUCAGCGGGUAAGUGAAGUUCCAGUUUAGCAGUGAGUUUAUAUUAGCUAAAUGUUAGAUUGGAAUGCAGGAGUAGCAUUACAACACCAAGGUAGAGACCUGAAGAGAAGCAAGGGGAUGGACCAAGGAAACUAGAACCGUGUUGUCGUGAUGUGGGUCGUGUCAUCUUCGUCCAUCUCCAUGAAGUGUGUUGCCCUACAGCAAGAAAUGAGGCACAUAACUGGGAACGAUUGGACGUGGGGAGAGAAGAAUGUUACCUUGUUGUUGACCAAAAACAGCAGUAAAGCUCCAACCUCUAGUUGGCUAACAGGAGAAUUCAUAUGUUAAUAACAAUGCUCCAAGAUCAAUCCAACCUCCAAGGCAUAUGGUUUUGGAGAUCGCCAGUUUGCAAAUAUGGAAGGAAAAAUACCUUAUAGCAGCUAGCUGUGGGGUGAAAGCAGAUAUGGUUUUGGAGAUCAGCAGUUUGCAAAUGCGGAAGCAAAAAUACCUUAUAGCAGCUAGCUGUGGGGUGAAAGCAGAUUGCAUUUUUUUGAUUCAGUUAUGUUUGCACGUGGAUGUACCACAUCAAAACUGAUUGAACCUUCCUAAUCUCAUGGCAAUUCUUUGGCCCUAUUUUGUUCUGUAGCUGAACGACUGCUGAUAUUCUUUUCCCUGGCGGCCAUACAUGCCUAUCUCUUGUGUAUUCAUUGAUUAAUUUUUGUUGA